rnacentral:snRNA from 1 species
AUCUCUUUGCCUUUUGGCUUAGAUCAAGUGUAGUAUCUGUUCUUUUCAGUGUAACAACUGAAAUGACCUCAAAGAGGCUCAUUACCUUAUUUUUGUUACAACACAUUUU